rnacentral:rRNA from 1 species
AGUGAACGCUGGCGGUAGGCCUAACACAUGCAAGUCGAACGGCAGCACAGUAAGAGCUUGCUCUUACGGGUGGCGAGUGGCGGACGGGUGAGGAAUACAUCGGAAUCUACUUUUUCGUGGGGGAUAACGUAGGGAAACUUACGCUAAUACCGCAUACGACCUACGGGUGAAAGCAGGGGAUCUUCGGACCUUGCGCGAUUGAAUGAGCCGAUGUCGGAUUAGCUAGUUGGCGGGGUAAAGGCCCACCAAGGCGACGAUCCGUAGCUGGUCUGAGAGGAUGAUCAGCCACACUGGAACUGAGACACGGUCCAGACUCCUACGGGAGGCAGCAGUGGGGAAUAUUGGACAAUGGGCGCAAGCCUGAUCCAGCCAUACCGCGUGGGUGAAGAAGGCCUUCGGGUUGUAAAGCACUUUUGUUGGGAAAGAAAAGCAGCAGGUUAAUACCCCGCUGUUCUGACGGUACCCAAAGAAUAAGCACCGGCUAACUUCG